AUGGCGACCGGGCGGCGGUCGUUAGGUUUCGGAGUGAAACUUUGCCGGCGCGUGGCGGGCGGGCGUUGGGACGGGGGUGUCGCCGGCGCGGCGCGGCGCGGCCGGGGGGACACCGCGGCGAGGAGCCGGGAAAGUUUUUUUGCGCCGAGAAGCUGCUGGGCGCCCACGCCCCCUCGGCGGCUGCCUGACGGCCCGUCUCCACUCCGCAGCUCCCGGCCGAGCGCGCUGCUAUGGCACCCGCCCGUCGCCUCGGGGCGAGCCGGGGGAGGCCGCCCCCGGCCGGCGGUGACCGCCCCGGCCGCCUCGCCGUUCCUCCCCCCGCCCGAGCCUCGCCGCGGACGGAGCUGGGGAAGGGCGAGGGGGGCCGCUGCCCGGGCACCGCCUGAGCCAGCCGCCGCCUCGCCGCCGGAGCCCCAUGCCCGGCCGGCGCUGUGCAGCCCCGCGGCUCCCUCCGCCCAGAAGCGGCUGAGACCUCGCACCUCGCCACAGGUAAGCGGUGUGUGUGUGGGGGUGUCUGCCUGCCGCCCUGGGCUCCCGCCCGGCCCGGGAGCCGUUGCCCCCCCGAGCGGCGGCUGGCGCAGCGCCGGGCCCCUCGCUGGCGGCGGCGGAGGGCGCGCCCGGCCUCGCGGCGGCGUUUGGGAGGGGGCCGGGCGGCCCCUCGGCGACCGGGGCAGGGGGCGAGCAGCGGCCGAUAGAUGUGUGUGUGUGUACAGAUACAUAUUUCUAUUUUCUUCCAGAAAUAGACUUUCUGCCUCCCGAGCGGAGCCAGUUGGCAUGUGUAGAGGCUGCGUGCAGCUGCUACACCCUCUUUUGUCUGCUCUCGGGUCUGAAAUACUUUCUGUGCUGCCGCCGCCCGCCUGCCGCUGGCCGGGAGUCCUGCCGCGGCUUUGCCCCACUCGCCUCUGCUGCCCCCCCAGGAGUACCCUCUUUGCCCUUAUUUCCGCAGAACUUCUUCGUUUCUUUUUUUUUUUUCUUUUUUCUCAAGCUUUGUGUUUGCUCUGA
rnacentral:lncRNA from 1 species